CGUCAUACAGAAUAAGCAAACUCAAAAACCCUGCGCAGCCAAAGCAUUCUUGACAGCCAGUGCCGUGCUUAGCUUUAUAUUUAAGAGUGUAGGCUACGUCAGUGACCUCCUGAUGCAGUUUGUCAUCCGUGUACCUCCGAAACACUCAAGAAUGAAGCUCAUACUACAGGCGUGAUUGAUCGCCGUUGUCACACCUCCAGAGCUCCACACACUCCGACAGAUGGGUUUCAUGCAGCAAGAAGUCGCUUCAGUGUGGAAACAAUAGCGAUUCUUACAACGGCAGCCGCUCCAGCAUCUCGUCCUUCACCUGUUUUGGAUUUUUACGGCUCACGGCCCAACAAUUACACAGACUUCAGUGGAUAAGAGGUAUUCUGGUCUUUUCUAGGACAAUGGAGGUGUCAAAGGAUGACAUGCAGAGAUGUGUGAUGAAUUCUUGGAAUUUACAUUCCCCUUUAUAUCUGCACUAUCCUUAGCAAAGAACAGCCCAGUGUAACCAUGGCAACAGCAGCAUCCUCUGAGUGAGCAUCAUUCCCUCUUUCAUCUGUAAACAUGAUGAUUGUGGUUUGUAUGUGCUCCCCAUAUUGCUCAUAUUGUGCUGCGCGCAGAUUGCUCUACAGGUGUUUAAGGAAAAAGAUGUAAUUAUUACAAAAAUGUUUUCACCAUAUCUAUUUACUGAUUAUGCAAUUGUCAUGUGGUGUCAGAAAAAUGUCACUCACUGAAAUCCUGUCACAGACAGCACCUCUAUGCUCUUAAAGGGAUAGUUCACCCAAAAAUGAAAAUUCUGUCAUUAUUUACUUACCUUCAAAUCAUUUAAACCUGUAUGAUUUUCAUUCUUUGGCAGAACACAAAAGAUGUUUAGAAAAACCUUUCAAAUCAAUUCAAGUCGAAUUUAUUUGUGUAGCGCUUUUCUCAAUUGUUUCAAAGCAUCUUUAAAGACAAUCACGAUAUUGAUGUUUAUAAUAUCGUCAUAUCAUCAUGCC
rnacentral:lncRNA from 12 species